UCAGCUUUUUAGUCCAAGUUGAUACCUGCUGCACAGGAGGGAGUCAUUAAAGCAAACAGCCCCUCCUCCACCUUUCUGAUGUGAUCUAG